UGUCUAUGAUGAUAAAUUUUAAGGCUUGUUUCUCAAACAUUCGCAGUGGCCGCGUAAGAACUUUCGCCUUCGCCAGGUUUGAGAGUUAAUGCUGCUUUUCUCCUUCCUUGGAUGUAUGAGACG
rnacentral:snoRNA from 1 species